AGGGGCGGAGCCUCUGGCACACACCUGCUUGACAUCAUGAUUAGUUAGGUUCUCAAGCGGCAGAUAGAUGAAGACGAGCCGCCAGAAUAUUGUUACUCCUUAUUAUUGGGCCACUUCACUUGUUUUUACAUUUAUCACUUUCAUUUUAGGGUCGCGCAGUACGAACGUAGAAGUGGACUGCGAGGACUCGAGAAGAAGCCUUAGUUUGCUGAGUUACAGCCCAAGGAAAUUGCCCAGAUGAACCUACCUUUGCCCCGGUGUCGACGGCGGACUUGAAAUAAGGGUUUAGGAGGAUGAUGUAAGAGGAUGGCGCGUACCUUCUGUAAUUCUGGCAGGGGGAAAGCUUCCAUCAUGACUCAAUAGGCGAGCGGCGACGCCUCAGCACGCCAACACGGGAGGCGACCCACGCACACGCACGCACACACCCAAAAUCCAAAUGCAUCCCCUCUCACGGGACAAGUGAGGUGCUCUUUAAAGUGCUGCCAUGAUGGGUCUGCCCUAUCUAGCCAGUGCAGACCCACAGAUGCCCUCCCCGGGGGGGGGGGCGGGCUGGAGGGGAGCGGGGCAGCGGGCCUGGAGCCUCAUCUGCUCUGCCCAGAAUACAAAUGGGUCACAAACACACACACACACACACGCUGACCAUGAACAAGAAGGGGUUCUGCCAGCUGAAUUCCUCCAUUAGCCAUGAUGGGAAGGGCCAUCUGGUGUCAGUGUGCUGAAGCAAGCGUGUGUGUGACGACGCACACAUUGACACAACGCGUAGACACACACUCACGCACGACUGGAUUUUGUACUCGCUCAAAGAGACCCGAGUCACUAUCAAGAAGUAUUUAUUAGGGCCACAUUGAAAACAGAUUUAUUUGAGAACAAAGUUGUGAAUAAAAGGUGUUUUUGAGGAAUAUAAGUGGCAGGCAUGAUGUCAGGAAAACUCAUAUUAUCAUGCCAAAAUAGAGAGAGGUCUUAUUCUAAUGAGGGCGGAAAAGCUCACUUUUGACAAAAACUAUUUGAUGGAGAAAGCAGUCAUUUUUUCACAAAGAAAAUAAUAAUGCGAGGGGGGGAAAAAAAUUCUGACAAAAAACUUCUAAUAUUAAGAAUACAAAAUUUGGAAUACAUUUUUUACAAGAAUAAAGUGAUUUUAUCUUUGUAGGCAAAGGUAAGAAACGAAUAAGAAAAAUGUCUUUUUUUUCCAGAGGGAAAAGGCUUUUUUUGUAAAGGAUAUACUGUGAUGUGAGAAAAGGCAUAUUUUGUGACAAAAGUCCCAAGAUUAUGAGAAGAAAGUCGAAACCCAACAAGAAAAGAGGGAUUUUAUUUUGAGGAAAAAGUAAGUGAUUUUUUUCCCCCCCAAGAAAAAUGAUGCAGAACUGAUGUUGGAAUUAAAAGUUUUGAUAUUAUGGCCAAAAUUCAUGUCAUAUUUUUUCUAGAAUUAAGCAAUAUUUUUGGCAAGAAAAAUGGUUAUAUUGGGAAAAAAAUAGCCAUAAUCUCACAAGAAGUGCCUCAAGGUAUAUUUGUAUAU